AGCUGGCUUCUUGCGCUUAGGGAGUGUUUCCCAUUUAAACAAACACUACCGAAGAUGGCGGAGAGUUAAUACUAAAGAGAGAGAGAGAGCGAGAGAGAGUGUGUGUGUAUGAGAGCGAAGAAAAAAAAAAAAAAAAAAGAAAAGGUGGUCUGCUUAAAGGAAUACGUUUAAGGUGCUGGGCGGAACCGGACCGAGGCGUUGACCUGACCAGACCCCUGCUGAGAAAGCGCUUACACUGGCAUCCUCCUUCUGCCCAAGCAUACUGGAACAGGGAUCCCUGGUUCUACGCAAAAGAGAAGACCGUGCGAAAACUCAGGCGCUGUUAGCCGCAU
rnacentral:lncRNA from 1 species